AGUUAAAAAUUUCAUUCAUUUCUGUCGUUAAAAAUUGGCGUGGCUGAUGGAAUAACCAAAUAGUUACACAUGAUGUGCUACGGGUACCUUAUGUUAACAUAUAGAAACCAAUUUUUAAUAAAUAGAAAUGGAUGAAAUUUUUAACA
rfam:Gossypium hirsutum cultivar TM-1 chromosome 20, whole genome shotgun sequence